AACAUCAUGGUUUAUUAUGUAAGGUCUUUACACACCACAGAAAACAUAGUUAUGGAUCUUAUAUUGCAUUUCUGUUGAUGGUGCCUCAGAAAUAUUACACACUGGACCUUUAAGGACAUAAGGACAUAGGUAAGUGUGUUGUCAUUAUAAUCGCCACAACAAAAUUCUGUUUGGUAUUUCAGAGACAGCAGCAAGACAAAAAAGCAAAAAUGCACCCCAGACAGGACAGAGAAACUAGACUAAACAGUAAAAACAUAAACAAAUAUAAUAAAUUGCAUAUAAACAGUAACAGACUUCAGUAAUAAAUAAAUAAAGGCAACAACAACAGUAUACUAUUUCACAAUAGUAUGGUUCUUUUAUAUUAAACUAACUGUUGACUGAGGUUGAGGUUAAGUAAAAUCAUAACUUACUAUUUAGUUGUGAUAGCAUGAAAUUAUCAAGCUGUGUUGCUUGUGCUAAUAAAAUGCUGUAACUGGAGGUUCAACAUCAUAAACAUGCUUUGUUUACUCUGUUGACAGGAGCACGGUUGAGCUAGACUGAAGAAAUAUCUGCAAAAUAAAUAGUAAACCCUCUCUAAAGUGACUUGAAGUUGUCCUCACGUAAAUGAUGAAGACCUUAAGCCCAGCUGGAUAUACAAAUAACAGCUACACUGAGACCUCCUAAUGGGCCAGAGCAGUCAAGCAAUAGUGCACUCCGUUCGUCUUCCAGAUUGCAUCUGGGGUUUGGGGCGGAAGUUUCUCCCUGAGGCAACCCAGGCCCAGCUGCUCCAGUACCAAAAGUUCCCACCUGGGUGCUGCUUAGAUUUACUAUUUCUCUUCACGAUUAAUAAUAAAAAAUAAAUUAACUUUA